ACAUGCUACAAUGUUCUUUAUUUCCUCCCCAAACAGCAUCUUCUCCAUCUUGAGUCUCUCCAUGGAUGUUCUUGAUACAGUGGAUUCCAAACAAUCAAACAAUGCUGCGUAAGNNNNNNNGCCUCCAAUAGCCUCUCCAUGAGAGUUGAUCCAUUAUGAUUAGAAUCUUGCUCCAUUACAACCAUGAGCUUUGGUGACAAACUCCAAAGCAUGUUGAGAAAGUAAUCCAUCUUCACUGAAGCGGUUGAUAAUAGUGGUGAUGAUGAGGUUGAGUCAGGAGUUGGGUUACAUCCAUUUGCCAUGUCUUUCUCAAGCAACUCCCCUAACGUACCUUGGUUCAUUUGAAGGACUCUUAGCAAGUGAAUUCCAUUUGA
rnacentral:misc_RNA from 1 species